UUGGCUGUUGAGCUCUUAGUGAUUUCUCCGCUGCCUCCGCUUGCAAAUCUACAUCCUUCCGCACUUCCUCUCUUGCUCCCCUUAUUCAUCCCGAGCCCUCAAGCUAAGAUCCUACUCGUUGUAUCGGAGAUGGGUGGGAAGAAGGAUGCGCCAAAGGGGAAGGCCAAGGAAUCUUCUCCCUAUGCUGGGGAAUGGAAGAAAAGUAAGUGCACUGAGUCCACCUUCAACUCAUGGAGGAGGGUCUGCUUCAACCUCAAGAAGUAGUUCAAUCAAGGUUCCCCAUUUCUGGUCUGAUUCCUUUCAAAAAUGUUGAUGAACUUGUCUUGUUUCAACAUUUCAUUGAACGCGGCCUUGCUCUUCCAACCUCUGACUUCCUUCGAGGUUUGCUUUCUUUCUUUCUAUGGGAUUUAGAUCCAUCAUCUGAAUUCCAAUCUAUUCUUCAUCUUUCAAAUUUUGUCCAUUUCUGUGAGGCAUUUCUUGAAAUCCAGCCUUACUGGAAUUUGUUCCACUAUCUCUUCCACCUCAAGCCCCAGCCCAAGAGCAACAAUCCCCAUCAGAUUGGCGGGUGUGGUUUUCAGCUGAACCUGGGGUGGGGGUCCAUGUACAUAGAUUACAGCACUCUGAAUAGUUUGUAUGGAUGGAAGAACUACUGGUUCUAUAUAAGGAACCACGCACCUCCACUCCCUAGGCGAAUGAAUGAAGCCCCCAUGCCGAAGGACUAUUGGAAGUCCGAGGUCAAGGAGGAGGAGAUGCCUCAUGUAUGGGUUCUUUUGGAGAAGAUCUGUGAGAUGAAGAAGGCUGGGGUCAGUGGCGCCACUGUUAUGCUCUCAUGGUUGCAGAGGCACAUCCAAACUCUGUAGCAGAGGACGCAUUUCGGGUUCCAGUAUAUUGGUGCCACUGACUCCUCGCGCAUUACCCUAGGGGGUUUGGAUGGUGGCUGUCCUUGAAGAUGUUGAAGUGAGCACUUCUCGGCGUUCGUACUUUGUCUGUCGUUCCCGAGUUGUCUACCGCCGAGAGGCCUCUGACUCCGGAACAAGUCACUUUAUAUGAGAGUCACCCCCUCAUGUCGAGUCCACCCAUGCAUGAGCUGGGAAAGAGGUCGGCUAAAAAAGCUGAGAAGCCCCAUGGUGAGAAGGUGCCAUCUCCUCCUCCUAAGAAGAGGAGGACAUCCAGUCGUCUCGCCACCGGUGAGGACCAGAAGAGGUCGGAAGAGUAAAUUCCUUUCCUAGUAGCAUGGUUUUGAUGACAACCUUCACUCCUGAUGUUUUUAUUUUUUUUAGCGAUGGGGAUGACGACGCUGCUAUUAAGGCGGCUGCGAUCCCCAAGCUCCCAAAGGCUGUCCCGAUGUCGGCCGUGAAGCGGUUUUCACUUGUUGCCACUUCAACAAGGUAAUGAUUGCUGCAGCUCGGAAGGGGUGGACCACUGCCCCAUCUUCUGGAUCUGCCCUCCCUGACGCUAUUCUCUUCCAUGAUGAGGAGGAGCGGGCUUACCAGUGCGGGUCUCCGCCUAGUGGCGUUGACCCUGACUUGGUCAGCAAGCCACUGGUAUCAGAGGUGGAGGUGCCGAAAAUGAAAGAACUCUUCCGAUGCGCAUAUGCUUUUUCCAAUGUGAGUGGGUUCUUGACGGAGGUAGAUCUAUGUACCUCCCUGCCGCGUCCGGGUGGCUACUCGGCAUUAACUACCAGGUAUGCAAGAACUCGGCUGCAUAAUGGAAGGGUCCUCUGCAGAUCAGGAUGAAGGCUCCAACAAGACGCCCGGAUUUUUAGGGAUCUUACCCGACCUUCUUCCUUGUAACAACCCGAGUAAAUCCCGAUAUACUUGUACUCCACGAAUCCUGGUCUAUAUAAGGGAGACGUGGGUAGACCCAUAGGCAGAUCAUCCAAACCAUACGCUUCCUCCCCCACAUUCAUUGUAACUCCAUAAGAAACCCUAAUUCCACAUUGAACAUAGGACAUAGGGUAUACGCUCAUCGCAGCCCGA